rnacentral:misc_RNA from 1 species
GAUGAAGAACGUAGCGAAAUGCGAUACUUGGUGUGAAUUGCAGAAUCCCGUGAACCAUCGAGUCUUUGAACGCAAGUUGCGCCCGAAGCCAUUAGGCCGAGGGCACGCCUGCCUGGGCGUCACACGUCGUUGCCCCCCCAUCUACUCCUUCGGGAUUGCGGGGGGCGGAUGAUGGCCUCCCGUGCGCCUCGUCGCGCGGUUGGCAUAAAUGCCAAGUCCUCGGCGACGCACGCCACGACAAUCGGUGGUUGCGAAACCUCGGUUGCCCGUCGUGUGCGGUCGUCGCGCAUCGAGGGCUCGAAAAAAUUGCCGGGCUCCGGCUCGGCUUUCAACGCGACCCCAGGUCAGGCGGGGUUACCCGCUGAAUUUAAGCAUAUCAGCGGAGGA